AAUCAACAAUGAAAAUGGCGAAACGAAACUUGUGAAUCGUGCAUUUGCUCUUCAUGGUAGCUGCCAAAAAAUCGAAUCAAACUUAUGGGACACUGGAUUACAGGUUGCUGCCACUACUCCAUGUGCCCGCAAUUGUCUUGCGUGUAUGAUUACACUAACGGCGUCGCCCACCACGGCGGAAGUGUUUUGCGUACACGCGUUUCAGCAUGAAGCCUGCAGGUGGACGUAAAUUGUAGAAGGCCGCUAGUGGGGGAGAAGAUCAUGGUCAUAGGUCAUGUGACUCCUGGAGCUCCCAGUGGGCUCCCUUGUGGAGUACUUUUCAGAACACACACACAUACAGUUUGCUCACAGAACCAACGAGUAGGAUGUUGCUUGAAUACUGAGAGAAAAUGGCGUAACACAUACAAAUAUCGUGUGACACAUAUGACAAUAAAAACAUUUUUCACAAGGGAUGCAUGAGACACUGUCGCAAUAUUGUGUGCAUGAACCAUUGUGUGUGACACAAGCCAUGGGGGCACACCGCCUCGGACACAUUUUGGGAAGCAUAAAACACAGUAUAUACAGAGCUACUAUGGUGGAUGCUUCUUUUUUCUUUUUGGCCGUUAUGAGACAUCUUUGGCCGUAAUGAGACUACCUUCGGCCGUAUUGAGACUUUGGCCGUAACGAGACACUUGGGGAUUAAAGGAUUUUCGGCCGUAAUGAGACUUUCGGCCGUAAUGAGACUUCGGCCGUAAUGAGACUCGGGCCGUAAUGAGAU